UACGUAGGGUGCGUGCGUUAAUCGGAAUUACUGGGCGUAAAGCGUGCGCAGGCGGCUUUGCAAGACAGAUGUGAAAUCCCCGGGCUCAACCUGGGAACUGCAUUUGUGACUGCAAGGCUAGAGUACGGCAGAGGGGGAUGGAAUUCCGCGUGUAGCAGUGAAAUGCGUAGAUAUGCGGAGGAACACCAAUGGCGAAGGCAAUCCCCUGGGCCUGUACUGACGCUCAUGCACGAAAGCGUGGGGAGCAAACAGG
rnacentral:rRNA from 1 species